AAUUUUGUUUUCAGCUGAAGGCGAUCAACACCUGGCUAGCCGUUCUCCCGGCAUCGGGAUUUGUCAGCAGCAGUUUUACGGAGACAUUGGAUGCUUCUGACAAAGCCUCAUUGAUUCCUCUUACAUGGUAAAUCUUCACAGCAGAAUCAAAACUAUCAAUUCCAGGAAAAGAAAAUAUUCUGAAAGAAUGAAGUUUGUCUGCUGCUGGGAAACUGAUGGACAUCUUAAAAUCUCCUCACCCUUCCUGCCAAUCCAAUCCCGGUUGUUGCUUCCAAACAGAAUAAAAUAGAGUAUGACAGGAA
rnacentral:lncRNA from 1 species